rnacentral:rRNA from 1 species
CAGCUUGCUGGGUGGAUUAGUGGCGAACGGGUGAGUAACACGUUGAGCAACGUGCCCAUAACUCUGGGAUAACCUCCGGAAACGGUGGCUAAUACUGGAUAUCUAACGCGAUCGCAUGGUCUGUGUUUGGAAAGAUUUUUUGGUUAUGGAUCGGCUCACGGCCUAUCAGCUUGUUGGUGAGGUAAUGGCUCACCAAGGCGACGACGGGUAGCCGGCCUGAGAGGGUGACCGGCCACACUGGGACUGAGACACGGCCCAGACUCCUACGGGAGGCAGCAGUGGGGAAUAUUGCACAAUGGGCGAAAGCCUGAUGCAGCAACGCCGCGUGAGGGAUGACGGCCUUCGGGUUGUAAACCUCUUUUAGUAGGGAAGAAGCGAAAGUGACGGUACCUGCAGAAAAAGCACCGGCUAACUACGUGCCAGCAGCCGCGGUAAUACGUAGGGUGCAAGCGUUGUCCGGAAUUAUUGGGCGUAAAGAGCUCGUAGGCGGUUUGUCGCGUCUGCUGUGAAAUCCCGAGGCUCAACCUCGGGUCUGCAGUGGGUACGGGCAGACUAGAGUGUGGUAGGGGAGAUUGGAAUUCCUGGUGUAGCGGUGGAAUGCGCAGAUAUCAGGAGGAACACCGAUGGCGAAGGCAGAUCUCUGGGCCAUUACUGACGCUGAGGAGCGAAAGCAUGGGGAGCGAACAGGAUUAGAUACCCUGGUAGUCCAUGCCGUAAACGUUGGGCGCUAGAUGUGGGGGA